rnacentral:rRNA from 1 species
UACGGAAGGCAGCAGUGGGGAAUAUUGCACAAUGGGCGAAAGCCUGAUGCAGCUAUGCCGCGUGUAUGAAGAAGGCCUUAGGGUUGUAAAGUACUUUCAUCGGGGAGGAAAAACAAAACUAAUAAUUUUAUUUCUUGACGUUACCCGAAAAAGAAGCACCGGCUAACUCCGUGCCAGCAGCCGCGGUAAUACGGAGGGUGCUAGCGUUAAUCAGAAUUACUGGGCGUAAAGAGCACGUAGGUGGUUUUUUUAAGUCAGAUGUGAAAUCCCUGGGCUUAACCUAGGAACUGCAUUUUUGAAACUGAAAUACUAGAGUACUCGUAGAGGGAGGUAGAAUUCUAGGUGUAGCGGUGAAAUGCGUAGAUAUCUGGAGGAAUCCUGUGGACGAAAGCGGCCUCCUAAACGAAUACUGACACUGGAGGUGCGAAAGCGGUGGGGAGCAAACGAGGAUUAGACUACC